AUUGAACGCUGGCGGCAGGCCUAACACAUGCAAGUCGAGCGGAGCGGCGGACGGGUGAGUAAUGCCUAGGAAUCUGCCUGGUAGUGGGGGAUAACGUCCGGAAACGGGCGCUAAUACCGCAUACUAUCAGAUGAGCCUAGGUCGGAUAAGCUAGUUGGGGGGGGAAAGGCCGACCAAGGCGACGCUCCGGAACGGGUCUGAGAGGAUGAUCAGUCACACUGUAACGUAGACACGUUCCAGACUCCGACGUGAGGCAUCAGGGGGUAAUAUGGGACAAUGGGCGAACGCCUGAUCCAGCCAGGCCGCGUGUGUGAAGAAGGUCUUCGGAUUGUAAAGCACUUUAAGUUGGGAGGCGUUACCAACAGAAUAAGCACCGGCUAACUUCGUGCCAGCAGCCGCGGUAAUAC
rnacentral:rRNA from 1 species